rnacentral:rRNA from 1 species
UUAAACUUGAGAGUUUGAUCCUGGCUCAGAACGAACGCUGGCGGCAGGCUUAACACAUGCAAGUCGAGCGCCCCCGCAAGGGGGAGCGGCGCACGGGAGAGUAACGCGUGGGAAUGUGCCCUUUGGUUCGGAACAACACCGGGAAACUGGUGCUAAUACCGGAUACCUCCGAGAGGAGAAAGAUUUAUCGCCAAAGGAUCAGCCCGCGUUGGAUUAGCUAGUUGGUAGGGUAACGGCCUACCAAGGCGACGAUCCAUAGCUGGUCUAAGAGGAUGAUCAGCCUCAUUGGGACUGAGACACGGCCCAAACUCCUACGGGAGGCAGCAGUGGGGAAUAUUGGACAAUGGGGGCAACCCUGAUCCAGCCAUGCCGCGUGAGUGCUAAGGCCUUCGGGUUGUAAAACUCUUUUACCCACGACGAUGAUGACGGUAGUGGGAGAAUAAGUCCCGGCAAACUUCGUGCCAGCAGCCGCGGUAAUACGAAGGGGACUAGCGUUGUUCGGAAUUACUGGGCGUAAAGGGCGCGUAGGUUGUACGGUAAGUCAGGUGUGAAAGCCCAGGGCUCAACCCUGGAAUAGCAUUUGAUACUGCCGUGCUGGAGUG